UUUUUACAUGUUAGGUAUGUUCCAUCCUCUGCUAUAGACUCGGUAGAUACCACUGGGCAAAGUCAAGAAAUCGUAACAACUGGAGUAACACAACAACAACAACAAGACGAAGAAAACAGCUUGCAACACAUUUCUAUUUAUGAAGAAAUUCAGAGUAUACAAAGUCAAAUAUACCGUGACGAUACAGACAAUGAAAAUGAAAAUGGUCCUGUUGAUACUUCUGGUAGUGACACGUCUUCUGAGAGACCAUAUUUAGAACUUGAACCUCCCAACACGUAUGAUGAUUUGGAAAAACCGGAAGUUGAAAUGCAGACAUAUAACCAAUAAAACUAUAAUUGUAUACAUAAAAGUAGAUACAAUUGACAUAAUUAACAUAUUGUGUACUCAUAUUUGAACAUUGUUUAAACGACUAUUAGCUACAAUUAAUAUACGUACUUUUACUUCUGUAUGACAUUGGAAUUUCCUUUCAUAAUACAGAGAAGAUAUGUAGACAAUCUUAUUCAAAAACCUUUUUAAUUAUUCAAUGAAUUUUAAAUUAACAAUUCAGAUUAAGGUAAACAAAAAACAGGCAGCUAGUUUUCUCUUUGGAAUUGUCUCACGUUUUGUUCUCCAUGCAGGGACCUACGAUAGCAUGAUAUAUGGUAUGGGUUUCUAAAGGCCGUAAGGUAGAUGCAAUUUUCUCCAGUCCGUUGAUUGACAGUUGGUCUCAAUAGCAGUCAUACCUCAUCUCCUUGUUUUUAUACUAUUUUCAUUAAUUCUAAUAAAUUAAUAGAACUGUUAAAGCUCUGUUAUCAAGACUAAUUCUUCAGAGGACAGAAAUAACUAAAGCUAACCAUUGAUAAAGUAACUGGCUUGGGGCAUUCACGUUAACACGGAGAAGGUGAAACUUGUUUUUAACCCCCACCCCAUCCACCCCUUUUUAUCAAUAUCAGUAGAAAAACGAUGGCCUUCAUAGAGAGAGAAAAAGUAAGACACAACUACAUCGCAGUUAUAGACGGCAAAAACACUAAUAAACAUACAGUACUAACUUAUACCGUAGCAAGUUUUGCUAAUUUUUAGAGUUGAUAUAACUUGUAUGUACACUUAUGCUUAAAAUCAAAUAAAAUCACGACACCUAACACGUGUUUGAGGAAAGUAACCUGCAUAGGGAUAUGACUGAUACCAACAGUUUUGGAAAUUUAUCAAUAUGACCAAAGGGACUUCAUAAAAAAACGUGUAAGGUGAACUUUAAAAACAUAGUUUAUAUACCGUUUUUAUACUUGAAAUUGAACAUCAAAUAUGUCAUUAUUUAAAUCAUGUCACUUUCGAAACACUGUCUUCAGGACGGAACUGAUAUAAACCGUCAGCGGUAGCGACAAAGUAUGAUACGGAAUAUCAUUAUGCGUACGGCGCGUUUCUUGAAUAUCCUGCAUCAUAAAUUCAAAAGAUUACCGGAGAACAUAACCAACAGUACAUAAUUAAUGCCUCUUAAAACUGUCCAUGGUCUACACUGCUUAGUAUAAUUACAAUAAUUAUUAACUGAAAAGUUGUGACAGAAUGUUUCAUGAAGAUCCUGAGUCCUUAACGAAACACUGGCUAACAAAACUGAUGGUACCCUUGGGGACUGAUAAUCCACCAUGCCUACUUAGUGGAUGGUACCCUUGGGGACAUAUAGUCCACCAUGGCUACUUAGCGGAUGGUACCUUUGGGGACUGAUAGUCCACCAUGGCUACUUAGCGGAUGUUUCCCUCGGGGACUGAUACUCCACUAGCAGUUGUACCCUUUUCAAUCUUCCAAAUAGUUAUUUUGGAAAUACAUAUAGUUUUGUCUCUUGUUUUAAAGACUUUUCAAGUAAAACCUCUUACUAGUUUUCAAAUUCAACACAACUAAAUUAAUUUCGCAUUUAUAGUUUAUUUAAUAUUCAAAUCAACUUGGUAUGUAUUUCACUCUGACAAAGAGGUUUGGUAUUUUUUUAAAUAAUUAUGUAGCAAUGAACUGGGAUGUGAUAAACGCUUGAUUUUUAUUACAAAAUGUAUCUUUCAUAAAUAUGAAAACAGGAUUUAUAGACCCGAUGUGUUUUUUUCACUUGAUAAAACCCCGCUCGUCAUCUUAAUUGUCAAUAUUGUAAGCGGAUAAUCCUCUGACAAGCCGGAGGUCCGCGUCAAGUCUUAGACUUAUAUUUAAGAGACUAAAAUAUCUUAUUAAGCAACCCGAGUUGAAUAAAGUAAGGUUGAGAUUGCCGCUGUUUCUUAUCAAUAUAUAUU